rnacentral:rRNA from 1 species
AGAGUUUGAUCCUGGCUCAGAUUGAACGCUGGCGGCAUGCUUUACACAUGCAAGUCGGACGGCAGCACAGAGAAGCUUGCUUCUUGGGUGGCGAGUGGCGAACGGGUGAGUAACAUAUCGGAACGUACCGAGUAAUGGGGGAUAACUAAUCGAAAGAUUAGCUAAUACCGCAUAUUCUCUGAGGAGGAAAGCAGGGGACCUUCGGGCCUUGCGUUAUUCGAGCGGCCGAUAUCUGAUUAGCUAGUUGGUGGGGUAAAGGCCUACCAAGGCGACGAUCAGUAGCGGGUCUGAGAGGAUGAUCCGCCACACUGGGACUGAGACACGGCCCAGACUCCUACGGGAGGCAGCAGUGGGGAAUUUUGGACAAUGGGCGCAAGCCUGAUCCAGCCAUGCCGCGUGUCUGAAGAAGGCCUUCGGGUUGUAAAGGACUUUUGUCAGGGAAGAAAAGGCUGUUGCUAAUAUCGACAGUUGAUGACGGUACCUGAAGAAUAAGCACCGGCUAACUACGUGCCAGCAGCCGCGGUAAUACGUAGGGUGCGAGCGUUAAUCGGAAUUACUGGGCGUAAAGCGAGCGCAGACGGUUACUUAAGCAGGAUGUGAAAUCCCCGGGCUCAACCUGGGAACUGCGUUCUGAAGCUGGGUGACUAGAGUGUGUCAGAGGGAGGUAGAAUUCCACGUGUAGCAGUGAAAUGCGUAGAGAUGUGGAGGAAUACCGAUGGCGAAGGCAGCCUCCUGGGAUAACACUGACGUUCAUGCUCGAAAGCGUGGGUAGCGAACAGGAUUAGAUACCCUGGUAGUCCACGCCCUAAA